rnacentral:rRNA from 1 species
AUUGAACGCUGGCGGCAUGCUUUACACAUGCAAGUCGAACGGCAGCGCGGGCUUCGGCCUGGCGGCGAGUGGCGAACGGGUGAGUAAUGCAUCGGAACGUGCCCAGUAGUGGGGGAUAGCCCGGCGAAAGCCGGAUUAAUACCGCAUACGACCUGAGGGUGAAAGCGGGGGACCGAAAGGCCUCGCGCUAUUGGAGCGGCCGAUGUCGGAUUAGCUAGUUGGUGGGGUAAAGGCUUACCAAGGCGACGAUCCGUAGCUGGUCUGAGAGGACGACCAGCCAACGGGGGACGGAAAACGGGCCCAAGCCCCAAGGGGGGGGCGGGUGGGGGAAUUUUGGCAAAGGGGGGAAACCCUGACCCGGCCAGGCCGGGGGGGGGAAGAAGGCCUUCGGGUUGUAAACCGUUUUUUUUGGGGAAAAAACCCUUUGGCUUAAACCCCCGGGGGGAUGACGGUACCGGAAAAAAAAGCACCGCUAAAUUACUG